AAUAACCCAUCAGAUUUUCUCCUCCCCAAAACCCUACAUUUUCUAUAUAUCUCACUCCCAAAUUCCUAAACCUAGAGGCAGAGCACCCCUAGGAAAGAGAGGACGACGGCUGUUUCCUUCAAAGAAACAACCCCAUGAGAAAAGUACCUUAAUUCCUAAUCACUUAAGAGAGAAGCUUCAUCAAAAGCAGAACCCCUUUCUUUUAAGUCAAAGUAAAUUGGGAUGAAAUGUCACGCAACUUUACUGAAGAUAGAAAAUUUUCAAACAUAAUGCAAUGCCUUACAUGGAAUAGCAAGUCUCAUUGGCUUAUUCUAAAUGCUUCUUUUACGCAAAAUACCAGUUGGGUUUGGGCAUAAAAACAAGGUCAAAAUCUAGCCGGAUCUCGAUCUGACCGGAAAGAGAAACUCCGGCGACCUCCAUUAACACCGACGAAAUUGUGUUUUGUCGCUCGCCACUUUUAUCCUCUGAUUUUCUGUUAUUUUGGUGACUUUGGUUAUAUAAAAUCAUAUUCGGCUGGUUUUAAAUUUUCCGCGCGAGGUUGUCCAUCCGAGGUUCUUGUUCACAAGUUUGAUGUUGUUGUCGGAUUCCAUUUCUGCUAACUGAACAAUUAUUUUGUUGAAUAGGAUCUUGCUCAUAUAAAGGUCCAUCCUCUACUUUACUGUUUCUAUUAGGCCACUCAUUUGUCUUAUUUGUCAUAUACUACUUGAAAUAUCUCCAUUAGAAGUGAGUAUUCAAUUUAAUGAUUCGAUUACGGUUCUUGAGUUUUUUAGAUCUUCUCUCAUUCUUUGAACUUUACUUAAUGCCACUAUGUGGGAAAAAUGUUUUUACUGUUACAAGUAUGUUAUUCUCAUGUUAAAAGGUCUCAUUAGAAAUAGGUGCUUGGAUUUUAGAAUAAUAUUC
rnacentral:lncRNA from 1 species